GAAACCUUUUAGAGCGUUGAACCUUAAAACAAUAAGGCGUAAAACCAUUUAUCAAAAAAUAUAGUUUUCUCAUACUCGGAAGUACUUACCAUCACAAUUCAUUGCACCAUAAAGCGGCUAUAUAUGUCUGGAAUAUUUCCCACACCACUAAGAAAAUAUGUCUAGUAUCUCCAUUUCUGGAAAAAAAAGGACCCAGUUCUUCAAUAUGCUCAAAUUGUUAUGACCUUAAUGCAAAUAGUAUUUAAUAAACCAGGAAGAUUUGCAGCAGCCAAAGUUUCCCUCGUCGACUAUCAUCAGGGUUCCCAGUCUGUACUCCAGUACACUAUCACCUUUGAUGCCAAGCAAGACUGGAAAAGAAGAGCUUUGAAAGCAGCUUUCCUACCAAGUUUAUCAGACAGCCUUAACAAUGAGCUUGUGAAAUACCAGCCUUAACAAUGAGCUACUGUGAAAUACCAGAGUCCUUGGAAAACUGAACACACAAAUCAGUGAAUGCUUAUAACUGAUGUUCCAUAUGAAAUCCAAGAAGAGACCAUAUUAAACAAGCAAAUCUGUGGUGCACCUGACAUCUAGAAUUAGUAGUUUCUCACUACUAAUGAGGAACCUACUGAUGAUGGCACCAUUUUUCUUACAGAAGCUAAAUGUCUUAGAUGUUGCAGUUUAGAACGUUUCUUAUACUGUGACCUCAAUUAUUAUCUUUUAUGAGACUGAUCUACAUAUCUGAGACACUUCCUUUGCUCUUAAAGUGACUGUAAUCCGCGGUCAACCACUUGGAACUGGUAUUAUUGAAUUCCAGAUAGUAUCAGUCAAGUGUACCAUGGAAUUACUGUAUCCUAAACACUUAAGUUUCCACCGUGUCUUCCCUCCUUCCUUACUUCUCAUACUCUGAUCACAUUAGAUACAGAUACACAAACCAAUCAACCAUCUCCUAGUCCCAAGGGGAAUUAAUGUCACUUUUAUGGAGAUCUUACCUGGCUGAUGUUCUCAAUACACAGGAUUCAUGGAUGCUUUCUCUAAAAAGAAGGCAGAAUAUUUAGCACUCCAAGAGGGGUGCUUGAGGACUGAAGCUCCUCCACAUUAGGCAAUGGUCUGGGCCCUCUCUCUCCCGCUCCCCUACUGGGUUUCAACAGGCAAAAGCAUCUAUUUGAAACGAUGAAGGAGCUGUUUCUAACAAAUUUAAUACACUCCAGCAAGUAAAAUGUAUCUCUGGAGAACUGGUGUAAACCAAUAUGUAGUCUGUAAAUUUUGUACAGUGUAUACUAAUAAGAAGAACACAAUGCUUAUACUUACUACAAUGGAACAUAUAUUUUCAUCAACCAAAGAGAGUGAGAAGACAUCACCAGAAAAUGCUAGUGAUCCUUCAAUUUUGUAGUGAGCUACAUCAACACAUAUAUAUCCAUGAAUCAGGCAUAUUUUAGCACUGUGUAUUACCUGGAUGUGAAUUAAACUUAAUUGUAUCCAAGGGA